GAUCAUGGCUCAGGACGAACGCUGGCGGCGUGCCUAACACAUGCAAGUCGAACGGAGUCGGCCCCGCAAGGGACUGACUUAGUGGCGAACGGGUGAGUAACGCGUGAGCAACCUGCCUUUCAGUGGGGGACGAACAGUUGGAAACGACUGCUAAUACCGCAUAAUGCAUUUUGACCGCAUGAUCGAGAUGCCAAAGAUUUAUUGCUGAAAGAUGGGCUCGCGUCUGAUUAG
rnacentral:rRNA from 1 species